ACAUUAGUGGUGUAAUGGUUAGCGUUCUUGACUACCCAUGUUUAGGGGUCGGGGGUUCGAGCCCUCUUGAGGUC